rnacentral:rRNA from 1 species
AGGACGAACGCUGGCGGCGUGCUUAACACAUGCAAGUCGAGCGGAAAGGCCCUUCGGGGGUACUCGAGCGGCGAACGGGUGAGUAACACGUGAGUAACCUGCCCCUAGCUCUGGGAUAGCUCCGGGAAACCGGGAUUAAUACCAGAUACGACCACUUUAGACAUCUGUCGUGGUGGAAAGGAUUCCGGCUAGGGAUGGGCUCGCGGCCUAUCAGCUUGUUGGUGGGGUAACGCCUACCAAGGCGACGACGGGUA